CUUACAUACAAGGUAGCCAAAUGCGACCUUUAGGAGUUAUUGCAGUCCCAUCACAAUUACCACAUUCCCAUCAUGUCAAAGGUAACAGGACAAAGUGAGCUCUCUAACGUGCAUGAUACCUCCUUGAAAUGUGUCUCAUCUGAAUGUCUGUGUAUAGAUUUUUAUAUGUGAUCUAAACUUCAAUUAUAAUCAGUGGAGAUCUAAGAUUCAACACUUUCCACCAGAUAAGAGUCUGGUGAUACUUGAUAUGCCUCAAGAUACCUGAGACUUCCAUCUAGAUCUGAAAAGUCCUGUGAACUUCUCUUUGGCUGGUAUCAAGAGCUAGACAUUUUACAACUUGGAUGGCAGGAGUAGUGUCUUAGUCUGGCAGAAAGACCCUGCUAUAGUAACCAGCAAUGAGAAGAAAUUGAACCAUGUAGUGAACCUCAAUCAGCCUUGCUUGGAGAUGUCUUUCCCAAACCCAGCUGUGGUGCCCACAUGUGCAAAGCAGCCAACCCUCAGCUUGUGUAUCCUGGACAGGUGGGCAUGCAGGUCUGAGAUAUUGGCUAACGGUGUGUAUGGGAGAUGCUUACCAUCCUGCAGCAGUGCCCUGACACCAGCUGCAGUUACGUGGCUCACUCUGGAUGUCUGCAGUGCAGGCCCUGUCGCUGUCCCUGUGAGGAGCUGCAGCCGCCACGAGGGAACUAUGGACAACCAUGACGUAGGCAAGAGAAAAGGAGAAACAGAGGCACCCAAACCAGAUGGAUUCAGAAGUCAAGUGGUAUGUCAGCAGUCAACAUGAAGUCAGAAUUUGGCUUUCCUGAAAUUAAUCAGAAGACCAGACUUUGGGCCACACAAGUCUGCUCCUACCUCUUUUCUACCAAUUUCCUACUUUGCCUUAUUUUGCCCACCUCCCCCGUGAAACAGCAACAAAAACUUAAGCCCAUUCUUUCCAUUUUCCUAACUUUUCUCCAGAUGCUAGUUAGGUACAUGCACCCACUUUGUGUUUCCAGGCUGGAACACGUUUCUUGUGAAGCCAUCCAGCUCUCCCUCAGAGCUGAGCCUAUCCUGGCCACCUGCUGCUGUGUUGUCUGUUAAUCACACUCUUUCCCACUGUGAGUCCCAGCAGGAUCACUGUUGGCACAGAUUUUCACAUAUCCCAUAUUAGAUAAUUUCAUGGAAGGGCUCCACACAACCAAGAUUGCCUUUCUGUCAAGCUGCCUUUUUUUAUGAGGUGCUGCAUCUCAUCACCCAUCACGUUGAUAUGACACCGUCAGACACAGCCUGCUCCCUGCCUCCAUGAAGAGAAGUCUGAUUGCUUGAGUCAAACUGAGAAAUUCACCUUAGCACUGGAAAAACAUUCACUGGAAGUCCCUGGCAGUACCUAAAAAGGAGCUCAUCUCCCCUCUCCUAAUGUAUAUGUCUCUCAUUGUCACAACGGACCUUGUUGCUACAGCAAUGCACACGGAUAUGAAUUUCCUCAGAAUUAUGGUGGCAGAAUGUGAUUAAAAAAAAUAAAAAAUGGAUCUUUGAUAUUAAAGCAACCUAAAGAGCAGGGUUCUACUCCUAGAUUUACCCACCACCUCUAAUCUACACAGACACUGUUGUAGAGACAUUCAUGGAAAAAAUCAAAACAUAGGGUAGAGCUACUCUGGAGAAUUUCCUAUCCCAGAAAGGGAGCUGAAGCACUUGAGAUAUUAAUGAC
rnacentral:lncRNA from 1 species